UAGUUCCAAGGUGCUACAAUAAACCAAAAACAGUCUUCUUUUUAGUUCAUUGUUUGUUGCAGCACCAUUAUUUGCCAGGAAAAAAAACAAACCACCGUCUUCACUGUAUGUCACAAUAUUCUAACCAGUAUUUCUUUAGAAUAUGAAUUCAUCGUUCUGUGGUCAGGGAAUGGAGUGAGCAGACAUGCACAGCUGAAUUCCACCACCUCUGGUUCCGCUGGAGAACCUCAGUGGAAAAUCAGGGACGCUGGGCUUCUGUCUGCGGUAAGCUCAUGGAGAACAAAAGCCUUUUGGAGGGGAACUGGCUGUGUUCUAAAGCGACUCCUUGGAGCACCUCCUUUGUGUCCCAUCAGAUCUGUGCGCUGAUACUGGCUUAAAUUCCCCUCCUCAGACAUCACAAUGUCUUCAUGGUAUGUAAACUCAUACCUUUGUCCCAGAUAUUUCUUUUGCUUGAGACAGAGCCAGCGUGUUUAUUCCAGUGAAAGGAUAGUAGCCAAAUGAUUCUCGGCUGUUGCACUCACAGAGCAGUGCUAAACGGAGGAGCUCUGAGGGUGCUGGGACCAAUCUUACAGCAUGUAGUCACACAAACCACAUCCUCGAGUUCUGGGAGAGCAUGCUUGCUUUUGGCUGCAUCUUCAAUGGCUCUGUUUUUUCUUUUUGUGGCCCCAAGUCUGCUCUCUCUGUGGGCCUGAAAUCCUCUCUUAAAGAUGUGACGUUUGUGGAAUCUGAGAAGCAAUUUUUAUCUUGCUGUGGGCUUUCUUUUAUAGGAGGAGAGAAUAUUGCCCCCAACUCAGUCACUCUCUAUCCCAUCGUAUUUCUUCCUGUUUGAUCUCUCAGAGAUUAAAGUUCAGUAUAUUUCAGGACAGUUAUAUUGCUGAGGUAAUAUAAAAUUAUUAAAAACAGAGAGAGAGAGAGAGAGACAAUAUUGUGACUACACAUCAAAAGCUCUUUAAGACAAAGGAGGGAAAACUGACUUGAAACUGGAAUUAUUAGAAGCAUCUGUGGUGUCCCUUUAUUCCCAUUUAACAGUGCAACACAUUUUGGAAUGUCUUAACUAUUCAAACUGGCAACCUGGUACUGCCCUCGUUUUCUGAUUUGUACCCUAACACUUGUGGUUCAUCUGCUCCUGCAAAGGGAAGUAACAGCUGUUGAUUAAUGAGCUUUGACCUCAAGGUACAAAGGAAUAUUCUCCCAUGCUGCAGCCUGUAUGAAAUUGGGUUAUUUUUUUCAGUCUUUGGAGGAAUUUAAAACAAAACAGAAAUAUCUAUCAAUUCAUAAGAAGCGCAUUAAUUUUUAAACUGCAGCUGGUGCUCGGAGUACAAUGUGCAAAUAAUUGUUUAUAUGUGUGGGUACAUGUAUCUAUACACACUCAAAUGUUUUGGGUACUUAUUUCCACGGUUAAAAAAAAAUCCAGUAAUAUUUUGAAACAGUAACUAACAGGAACCAGAAUAACAUUUAUUUCCAGUCAUCCCCAGUGUAAACAUAGGCGAGUGUAUUUGGGCAGAUGCAGAGCUGGAAUGGCAGAAAGCACAGCCUUUGUGAUGCAGUCCCUAAUUGCUGGGUAGCCGCAGCAGGAGCAGGGCCAUGCUCCCGGUGCUGUGUGGGGUGAUCCCACCAUGCAGGGAGCCCAGCUGCCAGGGCAUGGGGACCAUGAGAACAGCCCAUCCUUGCAGAAAAGAUCCCCUCAGGUGAGAUCACCUGUCAUAUGCAUGGAGAGCUUCGUAUUUUAGGGGCAGAACAGGCAGAAAGGAGCAAAUGCUCAUUCUGACUUGCUAACAUUGGCCAUAGUGUGUAACCCUUCUUGCAGCAAGCCCUGAGCUCUGCAGGAGGCAGGGGGUGGAUCUCCUCUGGGGCCAGUACAGCACCUGUUCUGUGGAGCCCAGGUGGUCUGAUGCAUGCUUAAUUUGGCUUAGGAAUGAAGAUGGGAGUUGCUUGUCUUUCUUCCUACUGGUAACAGCCUGUGUGUGAACACGAGGAGCUGCAGAAGAGUCCCUCUGUGAUGAACUUCCUUGUCUUGGAAAGGACUGUGUUUCUUCCCUGAAGUUUUACCAGCCAGCCAGAGGGUCUUCUCUUGGCAUUGCCAGAGGGAUUAGGAGCAUUUCAUUUGAAGAUUACCACAGGACAUGGUCUAGAAUCUCUACAUCAAAAGCAAGAGAGCAUUUUGUACGUUGGUGUAAGAUGAUAGGCCUGCUGUAAGAACAUGAACAUAAUGGACUUGAUGCUGUCCUCGUGCCAGAUUUAUCCUGGUGUAACAAUUCUGACGGGAUGUGGGCUGUUUUUGCAAACCACAGACCUCAGGCGUCCAAAAUUUGCCGUCAAGAUUGUGUGCUGCUGUGAACUCAUGUAUCCCUAGGACAGUCCUGCAAGCCUGAGUUUGAUCCGGACGCCAUCACAUUGAGGGGUCAUUGAUUGCAGAUUCUGAAGAUUUGUGUGGAAAUCCUAUGGUAAAAAGUGUGAACAGAACAGAGGACCGGGAUGAGUACGUGGAAGUUUAAAUUGCUGAACAUCUACACUGGGGGUCUUGAUGUGCCUGGCUUCCUGUCAGAAAGGCAAACAGCUGAUGAAGAUGGACAUGACAAGCAAGUAGAACUAUGGGAGAAGGACUGGGCCAAUCUAGUAGCUUGGACUAACUCCCUGUCUACAUUAAAGGAUUAAAACAGAGAGGCUGCACGGACAGAGAAAUGUGUGGAAGCCGAUCUCGAGGUGGCAGCAAUGGUUCCAGGAGGAGGUGGGAGGCAGCACUGCAAGGCCGCAAUGCCAGCAGCCAGCUCUGCCUCCAGGGCUGCCAGGUGCAUCGCUGGGCUGUGUAUGAAACCUAUCAUCCUGCUCCAUCAGUUUCCUUGCCAUCAGCAGGAUCCCGGGGCUGCGGAAGCAGAAGGACAGUUGCCUCAUUUGUUUCCUGAGGGAAAAUACUCCAAGAGAAGUCCAAGGGCCUCAGCACGAUGGAAAGAAAAUGCCUUGUUGUUCAGGUGGCCAAUGCUGCCUAAGCUGUGGAAAUAAGAGGUACAGCAGCUUGGAGAGGUGUCAUUUGGUUCAGUCCUAAACUAGAAGUACUGCUAAGGGAACAGAGUACGUGCAGCAUCUGGCAGCAGUGAGGGUUGCACAAGGCACAGAGAUGUAAGACCACCAAGCUGGGCUCUGGUGCUGAUGAAUCGUUAACUCGUGGAAUGUACUGCUCCAGGAGACCAGCGCGCUGCCACCACGCUUAUAAAAGAUUAACGUCUGGAGUGGGCCUUGAAGCCACCUCAUCUCUGCAGGUCAGAUGUGUUUAAUAACUGCGCAGACCCUCGAGGCUUUGACACGAGGCGCUCGUUAGCGAGGUGGGGUGGGGGUGCUGGGGGGAGCCCGGCCCUUUGGA